rnacentral:lncRNA from 1 species
UCUUCUCCUUGAUUUUUUUGCGGGCGAGACGGACUAAAUAGAGCUGAGUUUGGAGAUGGUGGCGCCACGUGGGCCCCACAAGCCUGGUAGGUGCGUCUUUGGGGGGGGUGGCCGCGCCUCCUGGGCUUGUGGCCCACUGGCUCACCUCCUCCCGUGGAUCUUUGCGCAUGUAUUUUUCAUUAAUUCCAGAAAAAUUCUCCGUAAAUUUUCAGGUCAUUCCGAGAACUUUUACUUCUGCACAAAAACAACACCAUGGCAAUUCUGCUAAAAACAGCGUUAGUCCGGAUUAGUUCCAUUCAAAUCAUGCAAAUUAGAGACAAAAACAAGGGCAAAAGAGUUCGGAAAAGUAGAUACGACGGAGACGUAUUAGGCAUCGUCGUUGAUCCGUACAUGGUCGUUCAUCACUCCUGCGGAAACCAGGGAGCCUAUGGUUACUGGGUCUACACGGUAAGAGAUGGUAGCUCGAGAUAUCUACAACCGGUUUGGAUGGCAGUCCAGUAAUAGGAUAUUUGGUUAGGUAUCUAGGACUAUGUUCGCUGGUUGUGGCAUCAUUUUAUAGACUUUUCAACAUUGUGUUGCUCGUUUUGAGCUUGUUCGAAACCGCUGGAUGUUUGUUACUUUUCGUUAAUUAAGUGGAUGCAUGCAUCGUAUUAAUGCAGGGAUUGAAGGAAAUCCUUCUUUUCUAAAAAAAAUAUAGCCUGGGGCCAACGUUCUCCCUUAAGGAAAGGCACGCAGGCCGUGCGAGGAGAAGUGGGGGCGAUCCACACGAGUAGGAGUCGGUUACAUCCACGUAUACAACUCAUACAAUACGACAGUAUGUUAACAGUACAUGUUAUCAUGGCACUGUACUUGAAGGGUACAUGUAGACAAUCAACUAUCAAAAAAUGUACUCAUUUCUUUCGCUUCCACCUCAUUCGUAUCAUCCAAGAAAUAUCUCUCACCUGCUUUUGUCGGGUGUGUCACAACAGCCACAAUUGAGUUAAAGGACACGUAUGUUUGUACUUGCCUUUAUAUAAAGAUAGAUGCAAUGCCUUCUCCUACUCAAUACAUGCAUAUAUAUACAAUAUUUUACUGUAGUUUUCUUGCCACCUCAUUCAUUAGCUCUUCUUAUCAAGUUAGUAGCUCCUAGAUUAACAAGAAUUGAGUUGAGAGCCUUGAGAAAAGGGUGACAGGAAUGGCAACUAGAAGAAGUUACUGGAAGUGCGUGUGUAGUUCAUUAGGACUGUGAGGCAUCUUGAAGCAAAUCUCCUAACAAAAACUGGAAGCUGGCCCUUGCAGCAGUAGUUGUGGGAGUGCAUAGAAUGGAACUUGGAAGAGCAUCAGCCACUAGGUUAGUUCCAGAAUCAAGCAAGGUGAUUUGUGUAAAACGUGAGACAGGAGAUUGUUUGGGAGAGAUCGCUCAGCACUAACAGCUCGCAAGUGACAAGUCAUCUGCAUAUUUAUAGGGGCUGCUAUGCGUUCGCCGGCGGAUCUUUCUAAAAGAUCCUUCGCCUCGCACGCCAUUUGAUUGUAUGACGUCAGUCAUUUGUUUCUCUUUUCUAUUUUCCUGCCACAAACGCCUGGUUGCAAAGGUCAUUCUCGUAACAAGAUCCCAGUUAUAAAACUUGUUUUUUUGUAACAAAACUCUUGUUGCAAACAUAAUUCCCGUAACAAGAUCUCGUCCAUUCCUCUUUUCUAUUUUUCUUCCACAAGCGCCUUGUUGCAAAAAUCAUUCCUGGAAGAAGAUAUCUAUUGCAGACCUUGUUAUUCUUUUUCCACAACAAGAUUCCAGUUACAGACCUUGUUAUUCUGUUUCUGCAACGACUCUUGUUGCAAACAAAUUCCUGUAACAAGAUCUCAGUUGCAAAUGUUCGUUGGAGAUAAGAACAAAAUGCGCUUGACGGAACGUUUAGUGCGGUAUCCAUCGGGUGACGUGAUACAAAGGGAAAACGGUGGACGUUUGGUGUUGGAUCGAUCCGUCAAAUGGUCAGAAUCUUGAUCCGUCAAAUGGUCAGAAUCUUUUCCCAUAUUUAUAUUUCAAGAGUACGAGAUACAUACGAGUAAAAGAUGCGUACCUUACAAGUUUGGUUGUAAUCACACCAACUAGCCUAUAUGGUUUGAACCAUAUCUUAUCUGCUAGUUUAUCACCCUCCCUCAGUCUCAACUUCAUUUAGCACAUUAUAAGAUAGCGUUUACAUGACUGAAAGUUUGGCAAUGGUAACAGCAUAGUGAAUAUGUCUACAAUUUGAUCUUGGGAAG